rnacentral:rRNA from 1 species
GACGAACGCUGGCGGCGUGCUUAACACAUGCACGUCGAACGAAGUGGCGAACGGGUGAGUAACGAGUAAUCAACCUGCCCUUCAGAGGGGGAAAACAGUUGGAAACGACUGCUAAUAACGCAUAAAGAAGGCGGGGAUUGCGUCUGAUUAGCUAGUUGGAGGGGUAACGGCCCACCAAGGAGAUGAUCAGUAGCCGGUCUGAGAGGAUGAACGGCAACAUUGGGACUGAGAAACGGCCCAGACUCCUACGGGAGGCAGCAGUGGGGAAUCUUCCGCAAUGGACGAAAGUCUGACGGAGCAACGCCGCGUGAGUGAUGACGGCCUUCGGGUUGUAAAGCUCUGUUAAUCGGGACGCGGUACCGGAAUAGAAAGCCACGGCUAACUACGUGCCAGCAGCCGCGGUAAUUC